rfam:Geomicrobium sp. JCM 19038 DNA, contig: JCM19038.contig00003.
UAGCCCUUUAACACAGUCCAGAGAGGCUGAGAAGGAUACGUAGAAGACACGUCCUAGGUGACGUCUGUUUUCUGAAUAUGUAUACUCAACCCCUCUCUAUUACGGAGCAGGGGUUUUUUAUA